rnacentral:lncRNA from 1 species
GCUUACCCUUCCUUUACCGAAUGUCCCUUAAACAGCCUAAAGUAGGAAAAUAAGAAAACACAGUCCCUGGCAUGGAGGAAAUUCAUGAUUGCACCUACAAAUCCCUAAACAGAAUGGUGAGAGCACACAGUAGAAGGCUGAGAAGAAAUGAUGAGUCCUUGUGCCCCAUGGGGUAAGCCUGGUGUUGCCAGGACUUCUGAUUUU